CAAUCUAGCCACUCCGUUUCUUAAAACAGCGAUUAGCUAACCCAACGUUUUCAAUUAAAACAAACAAUCAGUUUACGAGAAAUAAUGUCCGAUUUCACAUAAGGUAGUUGACCAACGAUAGCAGCUGACACAAUUAUGAAGCAACAAGAUCAGAAAGACAUUUCUUAUUUUUAACUUGGCUGCGACAACCCUGGGGAAAUGUGUGGAUAUACACCUUCGCCUCCUUCCACUGAAGCACGCGCCUAAUAUUCAGAGGUGACUCGUGAGACCGGGGAAUCGGCCAAUCAGGUGACGGCGCCAUGUUCUGCACAGCAUCGUGGGUGAACAGCAUGGGAGAGCACUGACUGAAUCAGAAUUCUCUUGCUGCUUGUCAAAGCGGAUUAAACCUGAUAAAAACAGACAGGUGGAUUAAUGAA